rnacentral:rRNA from 1 species
AGCGAACGCUGGCGGCAGGCUUAACACAUGCAAGUCGAGCGGGCGUAGCAAUACGUCAGCGGCAGACGGGUGAGUAACGCGUGGGAACGUACCUUUUGGUUCGGAACAACACAGGGAAACUUGUGCUAAUACCGGAUAAGCCCUUACGGGGAAAGAUUUAUCGCCGAGAGAUCGGCCCGCGUCUGAUUAGCUAGUUGGUAGGGUAAUGGCCUACCAAGGCGACGAUCAGUAGCUGGUCUGAGAGGAUGAUCAGCCACAUUGGGACUGAGACACGGCCCAAACUCCUACGGGAGGCAGCAGUGGGGAAUAUUGGACAAUGGGGGCAACCCUGAUCCAGCCAUGCCGCGUGAGUGAUGAAGGCCCUAGGGUUGUAAAGCUCUUUUGUGCGGGAAGAUAAUGACGGUACCGCAAGAAUAAGCCCCGGCUAACUUCGUACCAGCCGCCGCCGUAA